rnacentral:rRNA from 1 species
AUUGAACGCUGGCGGAAUGCUUUACACAUGCAAGUCGAACGAUGAACCUUAGCUUGCUAAGGGGAUUAGUGGCGAACGGGUGAGUAAUAUAUCGGAACGUGCCUUGUAAUGGGGGAUAACUAGUCGAAAGAUUAGCUAAUACCGCAUACGCCCUGAGGGGGAAAGUAGGGGAUCUUCGGACCUUACGUUAUAAGAGCGGCCGAUAUCUGAUUAGCUAGUUGGUGGGUAAUGGCCUACCAAGGCGACGAUCAGUAGCUGGUCUGAGAGGACGACCAGCCACACUGGAACUGAGACACGGUCCAGACUCCUACGGGAGGCAGCAGUGGGGAAUUUUGGACAAUGGGCGCAAGCCUGAUCCAGCCAUUCCGCGUGAGUGAAGAAGGCCUUCGGGUUGUAAAGCUCUUUCGCAAGGGAAGAAAACUUACCAUCGAAUAAAUGGUGAGGCUGACGGUACCUUGAUAAGAAGCACCGGCUAACUACGUG